rnacentral:rRNA from 1 species
GCGGCAACAGCUCAAAUUUGAAAUCUGGCCCUCGGGUCCGAGUUGUAAUUUGUAGAGGAUGCUUUUGGUACGGUGCCUUCCGAGUUCCCUGGAACGGGACGCCAUAGAGGGUGAGAGCCCCGUCUGGUUGGACACCAAGCCUCUGUAAAGCUCCUUCGACGAGUCGAGUAGUUUGGGAAUGCUGCUCUAAAUGGGAGGUAUAUGUCUUCUAAAGCUAAAUACCGGCCAGAGACCGAUAGCGCACAAGUAGAGUGAUCGAAAGAUGAAAAGCACUUUGAAAAGAGGGUUAAAUAGUACGUGAAAUUGUUGAAAGGGAAGCGCUUGUGACCAGACUUGAGCCCGGUUAAUCAUCCAGCCUUCUGGCUGGUGCACUUGGCCGGCUCAGGCCAGCAUCAGUUCGGCGUGGGGGAUAAAGGUUUCGGGAAUGUGGCUCCUCCGGGAGUGUUAUAGCCCGUUGCGUAAUACCCUGUACUGGACUGAGGUUCGCGCAUCUGCAAGGAUGCUGGCGUAAUGGUCAUCAGCGACCCGUCUUGAAACACGGACCAAGGAGUCGUCCUCGUAUGCGAGUGUUCGGGUGUCAAACCCCUACGCGUAAUGAAAGUGAACGCAGGUGAGAGCUUCGGCGCAUCAUCGACCGAUCCUGAUGUUCUCGGACGGAUUUGAGUAAGAGCAUACGGGGCCGGACCCGAAAGAAGGUGAACUAUGCCUGUAUAGGGUGAAGCCAGAGGAAACUCUGGUGGAGGCUCGCAGCGGUUCUGACGUGCAAAUCGAUCGUCAAAUAU